AUCAGUUAAGUACGAAAAGGUCUUCUAGUGUUACGCCGCCUGAAGUGCUUACCAGAAGUCGCUGUGCACGGCGCUGUGUACUUUCUACGCGAGCCAACAAGAAAUUAGUUCAUAAUUGCCAUGUGUUAUUGACAUGCGAAGAGGGAAACUCUCUUGUGGUCUAGACUGUGAGACACUAGGAGGCUGUGAAAGGGUUGUUCCCUGUUUGAAGGACUGCUGUUGCCAUGGCGUUGUCGGUGAAUACAAAGAAGGGUUUGGUGUUUGGUAUUGGAGCAGCAUUAGUUGUUAUAGGAGGUGUGCUUGGAGGGGUUUGGUUGUUGAUCGUUGACUCAAUCUUGAGUGGGGAAAUGGGCCUUACAAGCCAGUCAGAGUCAUAUACAAUGUGGGAAGAAACACCAAUUCCAAUGUUCAUAGAAGUAUACUUUUUCAAUUGGACAAAUGCUGCAGAGUUUCAGCAGAGACCACAAGAAGUGGUACCAGAAUUUGCAGAGUUGGGUCCAUACAUUUUCAGUGAGCACCAUACCAAAGUGAAUAUUGUUUGGAAUGACAACAACACCGUUACUUUUCAACAAGUUCGUAGGUGGCAUUUUGACCCAGAACGUUCAAAUGGAACAUUGAGGGAUGAAAUAACCAACAUUAAUGUUAUUGCAGUGACUGUGGAGUAUAUGAUACGUCACUUCAAUCCCGUGGUGCAGAUAAUUGUGGAUACACUUGUGAAGAAUCUGGAACCUCUGUUUGUGACAAAAACAGUAGGUCAGCUUAUGUUUGAAGGGUAUGAAGAUGAGCUACUCAACAUCACAGCUGCAUUGAAUGUUUCAGAGUUUCAAGUUCCCAUGGACAAGUUUGGAUGGUUCUACCCACGGAACAAUUCACCAACAUAUGAUGGGGUGUUCAAUAUGCAUACAGGAACAGACAAUUUAAAUUUACUGGGCAUAAUGGAUGCGUGGAAUUAUGAGCAGUAUCCCCCAUAUUAUGAUGGAGAAUGUGCCAGAAUAACUGGAUCAACUGGAGAACUUUUCCCACCUCUGGAAAAUGUGGAUAAGGUUGCAUUAUUUGCACCUGAAUUGUGUAGUUCUCUUGAUCUUGUGAAAUCAGAUGACCCAUAUUCAAAACAUGGUUUAGAAGCCUACAGGUUUAUUGGAGAUGACAGGGCACUUGAUAACGGAACAAAGUAUCCUGACAACCGAUGUUAUUGUGCAAAAAGGCAGAUCAUUGGCACCCAUGAAAUUUCAGCUUGUACUGAAGAAUGCGCACCAAGUGGUGUACGAAGCAUUUCAAAGUGUCGUUUUGGAGCACCUGCCUAUAUAUCCUUUCCACAUUUUUACAAGGCAGAUCCUUCAUAUCUACUAAACAUAAGAGGAUUAAAUCCAAAACAAGAUUUGCAUGAAUUCUAUGUUGCUGUGGAACCGCAUACUGGUAUUCCUUUAGACGUGAAAGCACGUGUGCAGAUCAACAUCCUCUUACGGCCAUACAAAAAUUCGAAACUGUUUAACAAUGUUCCUAAGGUAAUGAUUCCUAUGCUAUGGUUCACCCAGUCUGCAGAGCUCUCUGAUAAUUUGGCAGACCUGACAAAGCUUCUAGUCAGUCUUCCUGCAAUUGGUUGGGUUACAUUUUUUGGCUUGGCUGGAAUUGGUGCCCUGCUGAUAAUUUGUGGCAUAGUCAUAACACUGAGGAGAGGAUGGGAUGGCGAUGAUAGCGACAAACUCUUAGCAAACGACUCCUCGUCAGGAACGCCAGUUGUAAGAGAGGUGGAAAGGAAUAGGGAGGAGGAGAAGUAGAACAGAAUGGACAUGAAAGACUACCAGAAAGACCAGUACAAAUUAUGUUAAUACCUUCACUUCCUGCACACCAGCCAAUCCAGUCAUAGUACACUAGCAGUCUGCAGUAUUUCAUACUAAGGAAAUGAACAGCAAACAAUCUACAGGCAUCCAAAGAACUGCAAACUGUAGCUACAUGCUCCAUCUAGCAACAGAGGAGAAGACUACAUGCUUAAAGUGCAAUGUGAAAGAAAUAUUUUGUCUUGUUGUGGCAUGUUACUGUCUGAUCUUAGUCAAAUAAAGUGGUGAAGAUACAGCACCAGUAAAUGGCCAACUGUGAAUAUGGGAGUGAAUGUGUUAAUAUAUUUUGUUGGGUAAUGGUCAGUCAUGGCCUGUCGGGUUGUGUACUGAUGAUGGUAUUUGCUCUCUCCAUGACAAUAAGUGUAAAAUAAAGAUGUGUGAAAUGUGACUGGAUGUGUGCUAAUAUAGUUUUAAAUACAAUGGGUCCACAAGUUAGAAUACACAAUGAGUUAUUUUUUGAUAAAAUGGUGUCAUUUUCCCUGGACACCAUACAAAGUGGUUCAGAAUAAGGCUUCUUAUCGACAGGCAUCUGUUAUGUGUCACCUUUGGUGUUGCAUCUUAACAGAGCUCUUUCCAUAUAGCAACACAUCUGAUUGUUUUAUGAGAUGCAUCAUCGAUUUUUCUGUAAAAGGAGUCUUAAACUCAAAGGAAUCAUUAAUAGAUAUAUUUUUUUGUUAUUACAUACUUGUGUUAUGUAAUAUGUAAAUAGACUUGUGAAGUGCAAUAUAUAAUAGAUCUUUGUUACAAAAUUAUCAUUGGAUAUAAUGUAAGAUUACUAAAAUCAGUUUAUUAACUUUUUUAUCCUGUUUGGGUUAGUUUGAGUUUGAUUCAAUUAUAUGUACGCGUAUAUUGAUAAUUUUUAACACCAUAAGCAAUCGACUGCAAGUGUGCUGGGCCAGGUGCAAGAAAACUGGACAAAUUCAAAAUACCAAGAGUAGAAAAACAAAUUUCUUUCAUUCAAGGAGCACAUUCUUGCAGUGUGUGAAACAAACAUCAGUAUUACUGUAGUGUGAGCAGCCGAUCUAGUCACCGUGCCCUUUUCCUCUUCACAUGAUACGUGACAUCAUGUGACAGGUAAAGCUGAGCUCUAGAGUUGUACUGCUGCUCCUCCUGACCUUCCUCCCUUCCCCAUCUUUUUUCUAAGUCACGCUAUUGGCUGUUGCUUUUGAAUAUUUCUGCAUGGAGACUAGGGUGACUGCUCUACUUAUUACUGAUUGAAGAACAUAAUAUAAUCUGAAGAAAGCAGUCUUCUGGGAUUUGGCACCAUGUAUAUGUGGUGUUAACCGACGUUUCGGAGGAACGUAUC